rnacentral:rRNA from 1 species
CCUACGGGGGGCAGCAGUGGGGAAUAUUGCACAAUGGGGGAAACCCUGAUGCAGCGACGCCGCGUGAGUGAAGAAGUAAUUCGUUAUGUAAAGCUCUAUCAGCAGGGAAGAAAAUGACGGUACCUGAGUAAGAAGCCCCGGCUAACUACGUGCCAGCAGCCGCGGUAAUAAGUAGGGGGCAAGCGUUAUCCGGAUUCACUGGGUGUAAAGGGAGCGUAGACGGCAGUGCAAGUCUGGAGUGAAAGGCGGGGGCUCAACCCCCGGACUGCUCUGGAAACUGUACGGCUGGAGUGCAGGAGGGGUAAGUGGAAUUCCUAGUGUAGCGGUGAAAUGCGUAGAUAUUAGGAGGAACACCAGUGGCGAAGGCGGCUUACUGGACUGUAACUGACGUUGAGGCUCGAAAGCGUGGGGAGCAAACAGGAUUAGAUACCCGAGUAGUC